rnacentral:rRNA from 1 species
GGACCCCACUGCUAUCGGGAUGGGACUAAGACAUGCUAGUCGAGCGUCUCCAAGCUAUGGAAGAGACGCGGCACACAGCUCAGUAACACGUGGCUAACCUGCCCUUGGGACAAGGACAACUCCGGGAAACUGGGGCUAAUCCCUGAUAAGUGAGAACUCCCGGAAUGGAUUCUCGCUCAAAGGACGUUUAGACCAUGCUUCUAGGCGUCGCCCAAGGAGGGGGCCGCGACCGAUCAGGUUGUUGGUGAGGUAACGGCUCACCAAGCCUUUAACCGGUACGGGCCGUGAGAGCGGAAGCCCGGAGAUGGGCACUGAGACAAGGGCCCAGGCCCUACGGGGCGCAGCAGUCGCGAAAACUCCGCAAUACACGAAAGUGUGACGGGGCUAUCCCGAGUGCCAUCCGCUGAGGAUGGCUUUUCCCCAGUGUAUAAAGCUGGGGGAAUAAGGAGAGGGCAAGCCUGGUGUCAGCCGCCGCGGUAAUACCAGCUCUCCGAGUGGUGGGGAUGUUUAUUGGGCCUAAAGCAUUCGUAGCCUGCUUGGCAAGUCCUCCGUUAAAUCCAACGAUUCAAUCGUUGGGCUGCGGGGGAUACUGUCCGGCUAGGGGGCGGGAGAGGCCGACGGUAUUCUCGGGGUAGGGGUGAAAUCCUAUAAUCCCGGGAGGACCACCAGUGGCGAAGGCUGUCGGCUAGAACGCGCCCGACGGUGAGGGAUGAAAGCUGGGGGAGCGAACCGGAUUAGAUACCCGGGUAGUCCCAGCCGUAAACGAUGCGGGCUAGGUGUUGGGGCGGUCACGAACCGCCUCAGUGCCGCACGGAAGCAAUUAAGCCCGCCGCCUGGGGAGUACGGUCGCAAGGCUGAAACUUAA